UACAGAGGGUGCGAGCGUUAAUCGGAGUUACUGGGCGUAAAGGGCGCGUAGGCGGUCAUUUAAGAUAGAUGUGAAAUCCCUGGGCUUAACCUAGGAAUGGCAUUUAAGACUGGAUGACUGGAGUACAGUAGAGGGUGGCGGAAUUUCCGGUGUAGCGGUGAAAUGCGUAGAGAUCGGAAGGAACACCAGUGGCGAAGGCGGCCACCUGGACCACAACUGACGCUGAGGCGCGAAAGCUAGGGGAGCAAACAGG
rnacentral:rRNA from 1 species